rnacentral:lncRNA from 1 species
GUCUCGAUAGAAAACUGGUCUUUAAAUCCAUACCACAAAUACCCAAGGUAGAGAGAGUUACCUAAUGUUUCAACAAAACUUUAACACCAUGAUCAUGUUCAUCUUUAUCCUGUGUUCCUUGUCAAAAGAGACCAUAGCCCAAACAAAAGACCGGAUUCUCCCUGCAGACAUAUCACUUUCAGGCUCAAGCACUGUAAGAGAGGGAGAGGAUGUGGAUUUCCAAUGUACUAUUAUUAGAACCCCCCAGAGAAUAGAAAUGACCAGUCACUUUUACCUCUGCAAGAACGGCACUGCUGUUCAGAUGAAGGAGUUUGAUGUGAAUCUGAUGGAGGCAACUUUUACAAUUAAAAGUGUUAUUAACAAUGACACAGGCAACUACAGUUGUGUGCUUGAUCUGCAAUCAAAACCCCUGGAUAAUACAGACAGGAAAUUAUAUGGAAAUAAUUCAGCCUUUCUUCAGGUUAAUGAGGCUGCACAUGAUGUGAGACUUGUCAAUGUUAUCCGAUUGAUAAAUUCAGCUGUUGUGGUCAUACUUCUACUGACUGUAGUGGCUGUUAGUUACUUCUGUCCAAACAUGACGCAGCAACUGAAGGGCCUAAAGCAGAAGCCGUGUACCAGACCACACACGUAGACAGGAUGUUGUCAGUACAUUUAAUAACGGCAAGCUGCAAUCUAUUUUCAAGCCAUACAUUACAUGUGGACUGUUGAUCUUGCAUUGUGCAAACAUACAAUAUCUGUCUUGUCUACUCACUCCUUGCAUGCUGUAGUUUAAUGUAGUGGACAUUACUGUUUUUCAACUCCACAUUUUCAUUAUGUUGAUGACUGACACACUCAGUAUUCCAUUUCAUGUUUUACUCAUGCACUAGUUGAGCUACUGAGCUAGUGAACAACAAUGUAUGGAUCCCUGCAAUGGUUUCAGUAAAGUUCAAAUGAUAUCACAUGCCCCGACUUCCAUUCUUAUAAUCAUAAGACAGACAACAUAAAGAGAGAUGUUACACAUGCUCUCUUGCAAACUCUAGUUGAUAUGAUUGCCUGUUUUGAUAUGAUUGCCUACUACAUACUACAAUAUCAUUGUUGGAUACCAUUGUUGGAAAUGUUUCUACUCAUUAUAAAUGUGUUGGUGUGAGCUUUUUCUAAGCUCAGUAUCAUAGGCCUGGG